rnacentral:lncRNA from 1 species
UUGUCUUCCCGAGUAGCUGCUCCAUUCCCGGCAUAGAGGAUCAGGAGAGGGGACGCCACCUGCCACACGCUGGAUGCUGGGGUCCGCACGACUGCGGCUUGUGUCGCUGUGGUUGGUGGUGGUGAUGGAAACUGCAGCGUGGCUGGAGUGAAGAGAAACUGUCUUUAAAAUCUGUCUGCCUGGAUAAACUCAAAGGAGCCUUUACAGAAAGCACAUUCACACAGACUGGCUAAUGAGACCCCACACUGAAGAAGCCUAGAACUUCCACAGACUCCCUGAAAUCUAAGUCCUCAUUUUUAACAUACAGCUUUUAAUACUAGCUUCAGAAGUCCCGGAUCCCUGCAAAGUUAAUAGAGUUCCCUGGCCCCUUCUAUGUUGAGACAUGGUGAAAAGGCAGCCUCUAUCAACCAGAAAGCAGACUCUUUUCAGCCACAGGAAGAGAGAGGUUCAUGUAACCUACUUAGGAACAGAGUUUAUUGGUUCCAAAGGCAUGAAGUCAGAGUUGUCAUCAGUUUAUCGGCGGAGAUGCUGUUACUGGGCAACAAUGAACCAUUUCUUGAUUGGAUUGUGAUGUGACGAAAAGUGGAUUUUAUACGACAACCGGCAAUGACCAGCUCAGUGGUUGGACCAAGAAGACGCUCCAAGGCACUUCCCAAAGCCAAACUUGCACCAAAAAAGGUUAUGGUCACUAUUUGGUGGUCGUCGGCUCGUCUGAUCCACUGCAGCUUUCUGAAUGCCAGUGAAACCAUUGCCUCUGAGGAGUGUACUCAGCAAAUUGAUGACAUGCACUGAAAACUCCAGCGCCUGCAGGCAGCAUUGAUCAACAGAAAAGCCCAAUUCUUCUUCAUGACAGCACCUGACCACAUGUCACACAACUCACGCUUUAAAAGUUGAACAAAUUGGGCUACGAAGUUUCACCUCAUCUGCCGUAUUCACCUGAUCUCUCGCCAACUGACUACUACUUAUUCGAGCAUCUUGACAACUCUUUGCAGGGAAAAUGCUUUCAGGACCAGCAGGAUGCAGAAAAUGCUUUCAAGAGUUUAUUGAAUCCUGAAGAAUGGAUUUUUACACUAUAGAAAUAAACAGACUGGGCGCAGUGGCUCACGCCUGUAAUCUCAGCACUUUGGGAGGCCAAGGCAGCCAGAUCACCUGAGGU